GGCCAUUGGCGGAGUGGACCCCGAUGGGUGGGACGGGGGCGGCAGCCGUGACAGCCGCGGGAAGACACGAGAGGCUGCUAGAAGGACUUCCCGCGGCCAGCGCCAUCACAUGCCCACGCCGCAGGGAGCCCUGACCAGAGCUCCAGACCUCUGGGUCCAACUGCCUUAUGGAUCCCUCUCCCUGAAUGUCACAUAGGAGAGGGGACAGGGGUUGGCCACACACCUGGAAAUGGAGUUCUCUGAUGCAAUGUCCUUUGGGGUCCGGACUGUGGUGAAGGUUCGUCCAGCUCCACGCCCACCCACUGGCCGCUGGCAAACUCCGUGGUCCCACAGAACCGCAGUGUGCCCGUCUGGGGAGAGAAGGGAGGAGAUGGCUAAGGAAGGAAUGCUGGGAGGCCAACGUGGAGUGCCCACACACGGGCAGCAAGAGGCAGGAUCUCACUAUGUUGCCCAGGCUGGUCUCUAACAACUCCUGACCUCAAGUGAUCUUCCCACCUCGGCCUCCCAAAAUGCCGGGAUUAGAGGUGUGAACUACCGUGCCCAGCCCAGAAAUCAUCUCAACCAUAGGUUUACUUUCUUGACUGUCUCCCCUUCAUUACAAGUGGAGCCCCAUGACAGCAGGGUGGGGGCAGACACAGCCCUCCCUCCCUAAGGACAGACUGGGUCCCGUAUGGAGCCCAAGGGACACCGGGAAAUGAGUGAAGUUGGAGUCCCUGGAUAAAUGAAGAUUCUCUCUGCCCUCUCAGCUGUGAUACCCGCUCCCCCAAGCUGAGACUCCUUUCUCCCUUUCUUUCCCUGGCUUGCUCCUCCACAUCUGUAAUUUGGGUACAUUCCCCAUCAUACCCCAAUCACUCUGGCCUGGACUUGCCUAGCCAGACUUGUCUCUGAGAGCAGAGGGGCCUGAUCGAGGACCACAAGACCCGGGGGGAGCCACAGGUGCACAGAGCUGCGCAGAUCACUCUGCUCACCCCUCCCCAUGGCAGCCAUGACCACUCUCGGCCGUCACUGUCAGAUGACGGGUUGUUUCCCCCCCUGGAUGGAAAGCUCAGCACAGGGUGAGGCUCAAAGGAGACACCCACGGAACAACUGAGAUAAAAUCAAGUACUGGGUGGAUAGUUAGGGCAGCAAGUAGACAAAGGGCAGGGACUGCACUCUGCCCGAGGAUGCAGCUACAAGGGAUUAAGGGGCUGAGUCCCACCCCCACCCACCAUGCAAACACACAUCCCAGCCCCUGACCUUCUGGCCAUCCAGCAGCACGCGGUCUCCCAGGCGCAAGCCCAGUGCGCUAAGCAUGAGAUUGCCUGGGACGUUGUCAUAGUUGGGUAGCGUGACCUUGGGGAGGGCGCAAGAUAGUGGCACUGCCUCUUCCAGAAGCGUCCGCAGCUCCUUGGCCACCAGUGCCGCCUCUGCCUUGUCCAGGGACAUGUCCAUAGGAUCUGGGACCACCUCCGCCGGCACCUGUCCUUUUCGAUUCUGGGGGCCAAUGGGAAGAGAAGGCGGGGACUCAGUGGCACAGGUCACACCCCCAUGGAGGCCCUGCCCCUAGAGACCACCAGUCUGGGUGAUGCAGGGGUAAGACUAGGUCAUAUCCUGGGCCAACCUGGGAAUAAGAAGGGUCGGGGCAAGGCGGGGUAAGGUGGCUCACGCCUGUAAUCCCAGUACGUUGUGAGGCCGAGGCAGGCAGAUGCUUGAGGUCAGGAGUUCAAGACCAGCCUGGCCAACAUGGUGAAACCUUGUCUGUACUAAAAAUACAAAAAUUAGCCGGGUGUGGUGGCGUGUGCCUGUAAUCCCAGCUACUCGGGAGGCUGAGGCAGGAGAAUCGCUUGAAUCCGGGAAGCAGAGGUUGCAGUGAGCCAAGAUCAUGCUACUGCACUCCAGCCUGGGUGACAGAGCGAGACUCCGUCUCAAAAAAAAAAAAAAGAAGGGGCAGGGCAGAAAGGUGCAGACCACAUCCCCAGGGAAACCCACCCCUGAGACCCAGGGCCGGGGGUGUGUCAAGUAAUUGAGGGUGGGCCUGGGGGUGUAGGCAGUAGGGAUGAGGGCCACACUUCAGUGCUGUAGGUCACGCCCUCAGGGAGGCAAUCUCUGGAGACCCCAAGCCUGUAAUGAGGACAUGUGGGAGAUGAACAUUGAGAAUGGGCUCCUGUGGGCUGGGUGCAGUGGCUUAUGCUUAUAAUCCUAGCAAUUUGUGAGGCCGAGGUGGGCAGAUCACCUGAGGUCAGGAGCUCGAGACCAGCCUGGCCAACAUGGUGAAACUCCAUCUCUACUAAAAAUACAAAAAUUAGCCGGGUGUGGUGGCGCAUGCCUAUAAUUCUACCUACUCGGGAGGCUGAGGCAGGAGAAUUGUUUGAACCUGGUAGGCAGAGGUUGCAGUGAGCCGAGAUUGCACCACUGCACUCCAGCCUGGAUGACAGAGCCAGUCUCUGUCUCAAAAAAAAAAAAGAAAAAAAAAAAAAUUAGAGAGAGUGAGAGUGGGCUCCUGUGGUAUAGAAGUCAGGAGUCAAACUCUGGGCCAGUGGAAAAUGGGGAGAGGCAGGGUCUCAGGGGCACAGGCCAUGUUACCCCAACAUACAUGUGCCUGGACGGCUGCAGGGUAAUUAGCAUUGUGGAUGGAGCCUGGUAAUGCAUAGGUCAGAGGUCAAAGAUCAUAUUGAGGGCUUAGGAGAGGACCAACCCUCUCAUUCACAGAGGGCCUAGCCCAACUUUCCUCAUGACCUUGAAAUGCUGUUAUGCACUGCCACAGGGUAGGCUGGAUGACCCUGGGCAGAUCCCUUAAUCUCUGCCUCAGUUUCCCCAUUGUAAAACAAGGCUUAUAAUAGACUUCACCUGACAUGUAAUGAA